CCUGACAAACAAUACAUCAUGUCAACAUUUGCAGUAGUCAUAUUAAUAGAAUCUCUCCUAAUAGCAUUUCAAGGUGUUAGUAAUGCUGAAGAGAUCAUAUUUCCCAAGAAUGACACAGUAAUCGCUAAAACAGAUGAAAAAGUUAUCUUAUCUUGCAGCUACACUGGCACCGUUUAUGAUUUCUAUUGGUACCGUCAAUUCCCUGAAAAAGCACCUCAGUUCCUCAUAAUGGAAUCGUCUGGAUUCAUAAAACAGGCUUCUCCUCAGGUUCCUGGGAUAACAAUGGCCAACAGAAAAGACACCAAACACAUGGAACUGGAGAUCUUCCCUGCAGCAGAGGCAUAUUCUGCUCUGUACUACUGUGCUGUGCAGCCCACAGUGAAAGGAAAACCUCUGACUCCAUACAAAAACCACAGUGAUCGUUCACAGAAGAACAGAUGUGCAGAAAUGUUUCUCACGCUACUUCUAUAG